GAUACCCAACAGCUAGCCCCCUCCCCUAAUAACAACAUCCCCUCAUUAAUAACCCCAAACAAACUAACAAAUAUAAAACAAACCAUUUUUCCUCCUGAGUAUGGGCGACAGAAAAGGACCUACGGAGCAAUAGAAAAAGUACCGCAAGGGAACGCUGAAAGAGAGAUGAAACAGCUCAGUAAAGUUUAAAAAUGCAGAGACUCCCCCUCGUACCUUUUGCAUCAUGAUUUAGCCAGUGUCCCCCAAGCAAAAUGCAUUUUAGUUUGGCCCCCCGAAACUAAGUGAGCUACCCCAAGACAGCCUAAUCUAUAGGGCAAACCCGUCUCUGUGGCAAAAGAGUGGGACGAUCUUUGGGUAGAGGUGAUAAAUCUACCGAACUUAGUUAUAGCUGGUUGCCCGAGAAAUGAAUAGAAGUUCAGCCUCGACGCUUCUCCCCUCACUCAGAACCUUAUCUUAAUAGACAAGCCAGAGAAGCAGCGAGCGUUAGUCAAAGGAGGUACAGCUCCUUUGAAACAAGACACAACUUUUGAAGAAGGGUAAAGAUCAUA
rnacentral:rRNA from 1 species